rnacentral:ncRNA from 1 species
AUUUGAACGCAGAUAAGGAGUAUUAGGAAGAACUGAACUAUUUUCAGAGAGUAUACGGUUGCUGUGAGUAUACAAGUUGGUUUUUCUGAACUCGCCUUUGAGUUUUUCACCGAAGUUAGUAAGUGAAAACGGUCCUUCCCGUUACGAAGUUAAGUGUCAACUUAGUGUUGGAAUAUGGGUGGUACCGCGGUUUUUCGUCCUAUAU